ensembl:lncRNA PCAT1 prostate cancer associated transcript 1
GUACUGUGUAUGAAGAUAUGUGCAGGGCACGGGCAACCUUAAGAGAUGGCAUUGUAACUCUGUGCUUUGAGUGCAGUUUCUAGGGGAGUAAAUACUCUGAUGCUAUUCUCCUCUCUUCCUCCAAUCUCCUGCAGAGGUGCUUAUUUAGCAAAUUCAACCUUAAACCUGAGUGCAUGGAAACUAUUGAUGCAGUGUCCAAGGUGGAGAAAGGUCAGAGUGGAUCCAGAGGAGCCAAGAGAAGACGUCCAGCAUGGUGACCUGGGCUCAAGUCAAGGUCCUUAUUUCUCUGCUGAACCAUCACAUUCCUUAUACAGAGUGGGACAGCAUUGGCUGAGUUCUACUAGCAAAUGCCGGAGAUGUGGUUCCUGUUGGCCUUUUAACUGAUGUGAUGAAAUAAAGUCUUCCAUAAUUUGACAACUA